UUGGCGUUGUUGUUCAUAUGGUGGUAUA
rnacentral:piRNA from 1 species